UACGUAGGGGGCAAGCGUUGUCCGGAAUCAUUGGGCGUAAAGCGCGUGUAGGCGGCUUGGUAAGUCCGCUCUGAAAGCCCGGGGCUCAACCCCGGGAGGCGGGUGGAUACUGUCAAGCUCGAGUCCGGAAGAGGCGAGUGGAAUUCCUGGUGUAGCGGUGAAAUGCGCGGAUAUCAGGAGGAACACCAAUGGCGAAGGCAGCUCGCUGGGACGUGACUGACGCUGAGACGCGAAAGCGUGGGGAGCAAACAGG
rnacentral:rRNA from 1 species